CCCGAGUUGGUGCAGUGGUUAGCAUGUCCAGUGACAGCUUGUGGGGGAGCCGUGCUGAACCUACAGGUCCCUUCAGGGGCGGAAGACUCAGGUUCGACUCCUGAACUUGGGA